GUGGGGAAUCUUCCGCAAUGGACGAAAGUCUGACGGAGCAACGCCGCGUGAGUGAAGAAGGUUUUCGGAUCGUAAAGCUCUUUCGUUAGGGACGAACGUGCUCUUUGUGAAUAAUGAGGAGUAAUGACGGUACCUAAAUAAGAAGCCACGGCUAACUACGUGCCAGCAGCCGCGGUAAUACGUAGGUGGCAAGCGUUGUCCGGAAUUAUUGGGCGUAAAGCGCGCGCAGGCGGGAUAUCAAGUCUGUCUUAAAAGUGCGAGGCUCAACCUCGUGAGGGGACAGAAACUGGUAUUCUUGAGUGUCGGAGAGGAAAGUGGAAUUCCAAGUGUAGCGGUGAAAUGCGUAGAGAUUUGGAAGAACACCAGUGGCGAAGGCGACUUUCUGGACGAUGUCUGACGCUGAGGCGCGAAAGCUAGGGGAGCGAACGGGAUUAGAAACCCUGUAGUCC
rnacentral:rRNA from 1 species